GAUACCCUAUUAUUUUAAAUGUAAUUUUUUUAACUAAAAUUAUUAAUAGUUAUGUUCUUUAAAAUUAAAAAUUUUGGCGGUAUUUUAGUCUUUUCAGAGGAACCUGUUUUUUAAUUGAUAGUCCACGAUAUUUUUUACUUUAACUUUAAAUUUAUAUAUCGUCGUUUAUAAAGAUUUUAUUAGAAUUUUAAUUUUUAAUAUUUUUAAUUAAAUAUUAAUUCAGAUCAAGGUGUAGUUGAUGUUAAAGUUAAAAUGGGUUACAUUAAAUUUAUUUUUGGUUUUAUUAUUUAAAAUUUUAAAUAAAUUGGAUUUGAAAGUAAUAAUUAUAUUUAUAUAUUAUGAUUAAGCUCUAAAAUAUGCACACAUCGCC
rnacentral:rRNA from 1 species